UAAGGAAUAUUGGGCAAUGGAGGCAACUCUGACCCAGCCAUGCCGCGUGAAGGAUGAAGGCCCUCUGGGUUGUAAACUUCUUUUAUAGGGGACGAAAAAAGCUCAUUCUUGAGCACUUGACGGUACCCUAGGAAUAAGCACCGGCUAACUCCGUGCCAGCAGCCGCGGUAAUACGGAGGGUGCAAGCGUUAUCCGGAUUCACUGGGUUUAAAGGGUGCGUAGGUGGGUUGGUAAGUCAGUGGUGAAAUCUCCGAGCUUAACUUGGAAACUGCCAUUGAUACUAUCAGUCUUGAAUAUUGUGGAGGUCAGCGGAAUAUGUCAUGUAGCGGUGAAAUGCUUAGAUAUGACAUAGAACACCAAUUGCGAAGGCAGCUGGCUACACAUAUAUUGACACUGAGGCACGAAAGCGUGGGGAUCAAACAG
rnacentral:rRNA from 1 species